rnacentral:misc_RNA from 1 species
GAUGAAGAACGAAGCGAAAUGCGAUACGUAAUGUGAAUUGCAGAAUUCAGUGAAUCAUCGAAUCUUUGAACGCAUAUUGCGCUCUCUGGUAUUCCGGAGAGCAUGCUUGUUUGAGUAUCAGUAAACACCUCAACUUCCAUAUCUUUUUUGAAAUGGGAGUUGGACUUGAGUGAUCCCAACGCUUUUCCUCACCGAAAAGUGGCGGGUUACUUGAAAUGCAGGUGCAGCUGGACUUUUCUCUGAGCUAUAAGCAUAUCUAUUUAGUCUGCCUAAAAACAGAUUAUUACCUUUGCUGCAGCUAACAUAAAGGAGAUUAGUUCUUGUGCUGACUGAUGCAGGAUUCACAAAGACAGGCUUCGGCCGACUUUGUAAACUCGAUCUCAAAUCAAGUAAGACUACCCGCUGAACUUAAGCAUAUCAAUAAGCGGAGGA